rnacentral:rRNA from 1 species
AUUGAACGCUGGCGGCAGGCCUAACACAUGCAAGUCGAGCGGAUGAAGGGAGCUUGCUCCUGGAUUCAGCGGCGGACGGGUGAGUAAUGCCUAGGAAUCUGCCUGGUAGUUGGGGAUAACGUCCGGAAACGGGCGCUAAUACCGCAUACGCCCUGAGGGAGAAAGUGUGGGAUCUUCGGACCUCACGCUAUCAGAUGAGCCCAGGUCGGAUUAGCUAGUUGGUGGGGUAAAGGCCUACCAAGGCGACGAUCCGUAACUGGUCUGAGAGGAUGAUCAGUCACACUGGAACUGAGACACGGUCCAGACUCCUACGGGAGGCAGCAGUGGGGAAUAUUGGACAAUGGGCGAAAGCCUGAUCCAGCCAUGCCGCGUGGGUGAAGAAGGUCUUCGGAUUGUAAAGCACUUUAAGUUGGGAAGAAGGGCAGUAAGUUAAUACCUUGCUGUUUUGACGUUACCAACAGAAUAAGCACCGGCUAACUUCGUG